rfam:Schistosoma mattheei strain Denwood, Zambia genome assembly, scaffold: SMTD_contig0007768
AUCUAGCUGACGAGUCUCAAAUAAGACGAAACGCUUAUUCUCGAUUCCACUACAU